rnacentral:lncRNA from 1 species
AUCAUUCAGUUAUGCAAAUAUCAGACAAUUGUGCAAUAUUUAACCCAAUGGAACAAACAGGAGACUUUUUAGCCUGCCAACGCCAACACGAAGUGUUUGCAUGAGCAACCUGGUUUAAUUGAGACAGACAAUCUUGAAGCAUCUCCAAGUAAUUAGUUUUAGGCAGCGAUAAGGCAUGCUAAAGGUGUUCAGUCCCCACUUAGUUCUCCCCCUUCUAUCUAAUUGUUUAACCUUUUCCUCUGUUCAGACGCCAUGCACACUCCACUACUCUUCGUCAUCUUCUGCGCUGUGAAGUCACCCAUUUAUUUUGCCUAGGAGAUUAUUUAUCUCUGAAUCACAAGUUAACUUUGUUGGCUUUCAAUAGCCAUGAUAUUUUUAUAUUAGCAAACACAGCCAGAAGAAUUGCUAGCUAACCAGCUGGCUAAUUGAUACAUAGUCCAUAGAAAGGAGUUCAACCUCUAAAGAGUUUACGUAUAAAAAGAUUUAUAGUCAUUUUACUUGCAAGCCCCUCACAACCGUUUCAAGUGUCAAAUAAGACAGGUGUAAAGAAGCUUAAAUGCUCCAUUUCAGGCUUCUUACAUUGAGAUUUUCCCCCAAUCUGAAGCUUUUUCUCUUAACCUGAAGAAUUGCAAGAAGCUGAGUAUAUGUUUCUACAGCAUUUUUCCCUUGACCCUGCGCAAUUUGGAGUUUAGCUUUGGUCCUCAACAGUUCUCCAUGAUCCCACUUUCCACUUUGGUCUAAGGCAACAUUAAUAACAGUUUCAGCAUCCCUAAACCGUUUCUGAGCUGAUAAUACCCGAGCCAACAGCAUCCACCCUUUCAAAGUAGAACCACCUUCCAAUUUAAGCAACCACUUUGCGUAAUGGACUGUGGCAUCCAACUUCCUUUUCUCUGCAUUUUCUAGACAAAGAUGAUAAAUGACAUUAGCAUCACUCAUCUUUGUCAGUUUCCCAGCAGAUUCAAAGGACUUAAGUGCUUCUGAUUGUAUCUUAACCCUCUCGGAAUCUGUCACCAUUGCUCUAGAAUGAGCUGAAAGUGAGAGGCCUAAUACCCAAUUGGCAACACCCAUCAACUGACUGCAUCUUUCUUGCUCGAUUCUAAUAGCUGUAUGAGCACAAAUUAUUCCUUCGUUUGCACAAUCUGGGAUUUCAGCACAUAAUUUUGAAGCCAAUAACAAACCUGGAACACAAGUGUGAUCCUCUGUAUUAAAUAGUUUCCGCAACAAGUCCAAGGCAGCUAAGUUAUCUUCUUCUCCAUAAUAACAUAGAGCUAAGAUAAGAUACAUCUCUUGCUGAUCUAUAGUUCUGGGAAGCAACUCUUCUACUUUGUUAGCCAAAGCCUUUAGACCCCCUGAUAUGGAUAAUGCAUAUGAGAGAUGGUCAAGAAUUGAAGGGUCCCACUCAAUCCUUUGUAAAAAAUCUUUUUCAACAAAAUCAUCAAGAGAAGAAUAGCCUCUUCAAUAUUGUUUCUGGGGACAAAUGAACCGUCCAUUGAGAUCGGAGAUUAGGUGGACAUGAUUCUCCUCCACUAUAGAGAAGAAAAACGGCAAAUUCCUUCUGAAUCCUUGCAGUAGCCUGGAUCUCAAGUUUCCAUGGAGGCAGAAGAGCUCGGCGGUAUGACAUAAUUGCUUCUCGAGGAGCAUCUGCAAGUUUGCAUAAUUCAGGGAGCAGCUCAACAGCAUUGCUGAGAGUGUCCUGCAAUUUACAGUCACUACCAAAGGUUUCAGGAAAGCCUGCUGGAAAAGAAGAUUCGAGAAUGUCCAGAACUACUCUACAUGAUUGAGAAGCUUCUGCAAAAAUUUAUAUUGGAAACGAAUUAGCUGAAUAGGGUGAGAACUUUCAGUCAUUAAACUUUCAGGUAGACCUUCUCUUGUCACCUUGUCCAUACAAUCAAACAUUCAUGCACAUGGCAGAAUAAACAUUAAUCACAAGUAAAAAGGUAUAUGAAUCAGAAAAUCUAACUAAAGAACUUGAGCACUUAUUUGAGGAAAGUUUUUAGGAUAACCAGAUAUACUUGGGAUGGGAGAGUAGCAGAGUUAUAGAUUACAUUUUUUGUUCUCCAUAUUCACCAAGAGUAUGAAAUCAGUACAUUGUUGGAAAAUCCAAAAGCAUAAAAGCAACACGAUCCAAAGAGUUUUCACUUUUCUGGAUAAUUUAUUGGCUCAAUUAAGUGGGGAUAAGUGGAGGAUGCGUCAACAAUAUUAAUCAACAAUCCUCAAUCACAAAAUAAUUGGGAAGUGAAGGAUGGGUAAAAUAACAAAAGUACAGACAGCUGGGCAGACAUACAAAAAUUUCAACAUGAGUAUAUCAUGGAAAACUGAUGAGAAAGACAACAAUUUCCAGAAAGAGGAAACAGUAGGGAAGACAGUAAUAGAAGAAAAAAUUUAAUAAAUGAAGCAAACUGAAAAAGCUUUUUCAUUAUUGAAGAUGAUUGUUGCACGAAAACGUGCUAAUACAGAUAUAACUAAACACAUACUCUACCAUUGUACCUCUGAAGCGCCUGCAACGAUUUUGCUUUGAGAAAGACCGCUUCCAGGAGCACACUUACAGCAUUUAGGGACAUUGAUGGCGUAGAAAAACUCUGUGAACGUCUCUUUUGAGUUUUCGCUCUUUCGGCAAGGGCGAUUUUCAACUUAGGAGUCACUGAGGCAAUAUCUAUCCCUUCAAAAACAUGUAGAGCAGCCUCUAUAUUCCCCUUUUGGUAUUCAUAUCUUCCAAGUAAUGCUCUUGCUUCCUAGAAAAGUAUUGAUGUCUUUAGUUAAAUUGCCACCAAACUGAAAUUCUGCUACAUGCAAAUUUAGCUUUGAAGUAUUUAAGAAUGACAUGAUAAAGGAAAGAUAGACUUAAUAUUGCAGUGUGGUAGGCUCAAAGGGAGAAGGGAACAAGAAGACCAUUAAAAGGAAAGGAAAAGAUUUGCAUGUAAUAAAUCAGGGAAGUCACCUCAUAAUUCAAACAACCACUCUCACGCAAAGAUGAUUCAGCUUCUUCAAUAUUGCCAGUAUCAGGCUUUAGGCCAGCUUCUCCAGCUUGUGAUGAAUGAACACUUGCUGUGUAAUCCUUAGUUGCAAGGGAUUCAGGAGAUGGGAUUAUUUCAUCCAUCAGAAUUUGUUCAGACGAGCAUAGGCAAUUCAAUCUUGCGCACUUUCAAACUAGUCUGAUAAUCUUCCUCUUUUGUUGACCCAAUUAACAUUCUUCAUAUUCUACAGUCUCUCUCAUAAUCCUAAUCAGCAAUGCCGCCAAUAACAAUGAAUUAAGCUCAUUUGACAAGAUAAACAACAACAACAACCCAGUAUAAUCCCACUUAGUGGGGUCUGGGGAGGGUAGUGUGUANNNNNNNNNNNNNNNNNNNNNNNNNNNNNNNNNNNNNNNNNNNNNNNNNNNNNNNNNNNNNNNNNNNNNNNNNNNNNNNNNNNNNNNNNNNNNNNNNNNNNNNNNNNNNNNNNNNNNNNNNNNNNNNNNNNNNNNNNNNNNNNNNNNNNNNNNNNNNNNNNNNNNNNNNNNNNNNNNNCCAAGAACUUCCCACCUUGCUCUUGGGAGACUCGAACUCACAACCUCUCAGUUGGAAGUGUGGGUUGCUUACCAUCAGAGCAACCCCUCUUGUCUACAUUUGACAAGAUAAAUAGCUAGAAUUACAACUCCCACUCUAUUUUAGUAUCGCACACAACGGGAUAACAAAAAGUAAAGGAUAAAAGGAUUCAGAUCAAUCAUAUUAAUGCCUCCCCUCAAAUAAUUUACUAUUUUGCCAGCCAAAUAUUUCUUUCCCUUGCUUUUUAUCUUUCUUUCAGAAGGGGCAGAUCAACUGAAAUUGUUUUCUGUUGUUACCAGAAGAUUGCAGUCAACUGACACAAGUUUCUGUCGAAACCCAACAACCCACUACAGUAAACACAAAACCACAGACAUUCCCAAAAAGUAAUAAAUUAUUGCAAUUAGGAUCCCUUAGUCCCAAUAAAGAGAUACCAUUUAGUUUUGGUCACCAUCUUUAAACCAAAACGUGAAGAAACUAAAGCACAGUGACAAAAUUCCCAUAUUAUCUAUAACCAUCUCCAGACUUUAAUUCUGUCCCUCAAUGCUAUGACCAGCAAUAACAUAAUGGUUCUUCUUUUAUCUCCACAUUAGAUACCAAGUUUCAAUCAGAAAGUAUAAUGCUCCAUAUUUGCAAAACAUCCUAAAUCAACUAGACAUGACUAAUAAGUGAUAAUUAGAGGCCUAAGAGAAUAAGGAGUCCAUCAUAUACCAAGAAAAUGAGAAAUUGGAAUAGGAAGAAGGAAUUAUACCUUUCAAAAUUAGGUGAAUAAAGGAAGAGGAAUUGGAAAAAAGAGAGGCCAGCCACAGCAGUUCCCAUACUUUUUAUCUCCAAUCAAAACUCCAUUCUUUCUGUGAUCAACCAAAGAAUCCAAUAAAGCUUCAGACUUUCUUUUCUGUAUGUAAAUUACCACAAUAAAAACAGUCUCAGAAUCCAAUAAAUGAAUUGGGUUUGUGUGUAGGGACAGUUUGAAUAGGUGGUUGAGCUGAAUCCACCAAAAUUGCUAUAUGUGCACUCUCUCAAUUAUCUCAAAAUUCUCCACUUUUUGUGUGUAAAUUAAACUUAAUUACUAAUAACACAGUUCCAAGAACAGUCUCAGAGACCAAUGAUGAUAUGGGGUUAAAAAAGUACGACCCAGUACAAUACCACUAUAGGUGACCAACGGGUGGGCCGGGCCGGGUCCGGGUCCAAUUUUUCUGACCCGUCCGGGAAAGAUUUAUAGUCAUUUUACUUGCAAGCCCCUCACAACCGUUUCAAGUGUCAAAUAAGACAGGUGUAAAGAAGCUUAAAUGCUCC